rnacentral:Y_RNA from 1 species
GGUUGGUCUGAGUGCAGUGGUGUUUACAACUAAUUGAUCACAACCAGUUACAGAUUCCUUUGUUCCUUCUCCACUCCUACUGCUUCACUUGACCAACCUUAA